UACGGAGGGUGCGAGCGUUGUCCGGAAUCAUUGGGCGUAAAGGGCGCGUAGGUGGCCCGGUCAGUCAGUGGUGAAAGCGCGGGGCUCAACCCCGCGUCGGCCAUUGAUACUGCUGGGCUUGAGCACUGUAGAGGCAGGCGGAAUUCCGGGUGUAGCGGUGGAAUGCGUAGAGAUCCGGAAGAACACCGGUGGCGAAGGCGGCCUGCUGGGCAGUAGCUGACACUGAGGCGCGACAGCGUGGGGAGCAAACAGG
rnacentral:rRNA from 2 species